CAGAGAGCAGUUUGAAGGAGUUGAAGUAGAGUGGAUUGGUGUUGGAGCAGAGAGCAGUUUGGAGGAGUUGAAGCAGAUUGGAUUGGUGUUGGAACAGAGAGCGGUUUGGAGGAAUUGAAGUAGAGUGGAUUGGUGUUGGAGCAGAGAGCAGUUUGGAGGGAAGCAGAGGAGAGUUUGGAGAAGUGCUAUGGUGAGCUAAGAAGACCAAGACCCUAGGUAAAGGGACACAUG